AGAUGCUGGAGAGGCACAGUUGUGUCAAAGGCCACAUGGCACACCAUUAUGGCAGCAGCUGGAAGCUGAGGAGGUUGCACCACAUCCUGGGUCACCCUGACUGUGUUUAUCCCAGCCACAUGUGCUCUGCACACCAAAGACCUUCAAAGGUUGAUCACGGUGCUGUUUCUGCUACUGAGAUGGGCAGUGAAGUGAAGCCAAGGCUUUGGAGACAGCAAAGCUGCCCAUGGCAAGGACGUUUCUGCAGACACUGAGCGAUCAGCCUCUGGAGCACUUCCUGGGGACAGCACCAGUUGCAUUGGUUGGCUUCUUAAUGAGGCAUUUCUAGAAAUACAGCACUUUGUUCAGUAGAAAAAAAUUCUAGCAACCACACCAUCAGCCAGCAAGCUUUUAAAAAGAACUU
rnacentral:lncRNA from 1 species